GGUAAAAUGGCUGAGAUAAGCAUUAGACUGUAAAUCUAAAGACAGAGGUUAAGUCCUCUUUUUACCAU
rnacentral:tRNA from 1 species